ensembl:snRNA U6 U6 spliceosomal RNA
AUGCUUGCUUCAGCAGCAUAUAUCCUAAAAUAGGACUAUACAGAGAAGAUUAGCAUGGCUCCUGUGCAAGGAUGGCAUGCAAAUUCAUGAAACAUUCUAUGUUAAA